rnacentral:tRNA from 1 species
GGCCAGUUAGCUCAGUCGGUUAGAGCGUGGUGCUGAUAACACCAAGGCUGCAGGUUCGAUUCCCACUCGAUCCC